rnacentral:rRNA from 1 species
UACGUAGGGGGCUAGCGUUGUCCGGAAUCACUGGGCGUAAAGCGCACGUAGGCGGUCUCUCAAGUCAGAGGUGAAAGCCCAGGGCUCAACCUUGGAACUGCCUUUGAAACUAGGGAGCUAGAAUUCUGGAGAGGUCAGUGGAAUUCCGAGUGUAGAGGUGAAAUUCGUAGAUAUUCGGAAGAACACCAGUGGCGAAGGCGACUGACUGGACAGAUAUUGACGCUGAGGUGCGAAAGCGUGGGGAGCAAACAGG